rnacentral:rRNA from 1 species
CGAACGUUAGCCGGCGGGCUUAACACAUGCAAGUCGAGCGCGAACGUCUCCUUCGGGAGGCUAGUAGAGCGGCGGACGGGUGAGUAACACGUGGUUAACCUGCCCUCCGGCGGGGGACAACCACUCGAAAGGGUGGCUAAUACCGCAUACGUCGGUGGAGCUUGCGAGCUCCACCGGGAAAGCUGGCCUCUUUACAAUGCUAGCGCCGGAGGAGGGGACCGCGUCGCAUCAGCUUGUUGGUGGGGUAAUGGCUCACCAAGGCUAAGACGCGUAGCUGGUCUGAGAGGAUGAUCAGCCGCACUGGGACUGAGACACGGCCCAGACUCCUACGGGAGGCAGCAGUGGGGAAUAUUGGACAAUGGGCGGAAGCCUGAUCCAGCCACGCCGCGUGAGUGACGAAGGCCCUCGGGUCGUAAAGCUCUGUGGGGAAGGACGAAACCUCUGUCGCUAAUAUCGGCAGAGUUGACGGUACUUCCUUAGCAAGCACCGGCUAACUCCGUGCCAGCAGCCGCGGUAAUACGGAGGGUGCAAACGUUGCUCGGAAUCAUUGGGCGUAAAGC